CGAAAUGUAGCAUAGUGGAAUGCUUCGCUAAACGAGAACCUUUAAUAGGUGACGUGGGUUCGAUUCCCACCAUUUCGCCA
rnacentral:tRNA from 1 species